rnacentral:tmRNA from 1 species
GGGGUCGACUGGUUUUGACAGCGAGUCUAAUUGGAAUGUAAGCAUGCCGAGCUAUGAGGUUAAUGCUCGUAAAUAUCUGCUUCACACUUUUAAAUGGCGAGAAUAACUACGCUCUUGCUGCCUAAUCCGACUGAAUUAUAGUAAGUCCUGGCCUGGUCCCGCAAGGCGGGAAAGCGAGAUGUCCCUGGAUAGCCCUUGUUGAUGGCGAUCCGUUUUGGGGCACCAUAAAAAUCAACAUAGAAACUGUGUAGCUUCGCCACAGUUUUAAAUUCUAAGAAGCUAAGCUUGCAAUAGGCGGUUUUCGGUCAGCUGUAAGUCUAAAAUUAAACGAAAACUAAGCAUGUAGAAAGCACUUUGAUUGCUUGUUUGGACGAGAGUUCGAAUCUCUCCGACUCCACAU